UGCAAUAGGGAAGUCUAUUUGGG
rnacentral:piRNA from 2 species